rnacentral:rRNA from 1 species
GGCUUUUUGAGAAUAAUUUAAGGUCUAGCCUGCCCAUUGAUUUAAAAGUUAAAAGGCCGCGGUAAUUUGACCGUGCUAAGGUAGCAUAAUCACUAGUUUUUUAAUUGAAAGCUUGUAUGAAUGGUUGGAUGAGAAAUUGACUGUCUCUAUUAAAUUUUAUAUGAAUUUUAUUUUUAAGUAAGAAAGCUUAAAUAUUUUAAAAAGACGAGAAGACCCUAUAGAGUUUUAUAUAAUUUAAUAUUUAAGGCUUUUAGUAUUAUAAAACUGAUAUAUUUUUUAUAUUUGGUUGGGGUGAUUGAAAAAUUAAAUUAACUUUUUUUGUAUAAUAACAUUAAUUUAUGAUUAGUUGAUCCGUUAAUGAUGAUUAUAAGAUUAAAUUACCUUAGGGAUAACAGCGUAAUUUUUUUUGAGAGUUCAAAUCGAAAAAAAAGUUUGCGACCUCGAUGUUGGAUUAAAGUUAAUUUUUGGUGUAGAAGCUAGGAAUUUUAGGUCUGUUCGACCUUUGAAAUUUUACAUGA